UUUUUUUUUUUUUUUUUUUGAGAUGGAGUCUUGUUCUAUCACCCAGGCUGGAGUGCAGUGGUGCAAUCUUGGUACACUGUAGCUUCUGCCUCCCAGGUUCCAGUGAUUCUCCUGCCUCAGCCUCCUGAGUAGCUGGGAUUAUAGUUGUGCACCACCAAGCCCGGCUAAUUUUUGUAUUUUUAGUAAAGACGGGGUUUCACUGUGUUGGUCAGACUGGUCUCGAACUCCUGACCUCAGGUGAUCCACCUGCCUCAGCCUCCCAAAAUGCUGGGAUUACAGACCUGAGCCAUCGUGCCCUGCCAAUAACAAAGUUUUGAUGAGCGUUUUUCUCUCUCUCCUUCUAGUGAAUCCAGUUCUGGAGGUUCAGGGUCAUAAUGUUGGGAUCCUGCCCAGCUCUCUCCAUAAUCCUCUGUGUGUAUUAUUUGGAAAUGCCUCUUU
rnacentral:lncRNA from 1 species